rnacentral:rRNA from 1 species
AGCAGCCGCGGUAAUUCCAGCUCCAAUAGCGUAUAUUAAAGUUGUUGCAGUUAAAAAGCUCGUAGUUGAAUUUCGAGAUCAGUACGCUGGUCGUGCCUUCGGUAUGCACUGGUGUCACUGGUUUCUCCCUUCUGAAGAACCGUCAUGUCAUUAAGUUGGUGUGGCGGGGAAUCAGGACUGUUACUUUGAAAAAUUAGAGUGUUUAAAGCAGGCUCGCGCUUGAAUACAUUAGCAUGGAAUAAUGAAAUAGGACGUUUGACCCUAUUUUGUUGGUUUCUAGGAUCGACGUAAUGAUUAAUAGGGAUAGUUGGGGGCAUUAGUAUUCAAUUGUCAGAGGUGAAAUUCUUGGAUUUAUUGAAGACUAACUACUGCGAAAGCAUUUGCCAAGGAUGUUUUCAUUAAUCAAGAACGAAAGUUAGGGGAUCGAAGACGAUCAGAUACCGUCGUAGUCUUAACCAUAAACUAUGCCGACUAGGGAUCGGAUGAUGUUAAUUUUUAAUG